CCUACGGGGUGCUGCAGUGGGGAAUAUUGGACAAUGGGCGAAAGCCUGAUCCAGCCAUGCCGCGUGUGUGAAGAAGGCCUUCGGGUUGUAAAGCACUUUCAGUGGGGAAGAAAGCCUUGGGGCUAAUACCCUCGAGGAAGGACAUCACCCACAGAAGAAGCACCGGCUAACUCCGUGCCAGCAGCCGCGGUAAUACGGAGGGUGCGAGCGUUAAUCGGAAUUACUGGGCGUAAAGCGCGUGUAGGCGGUCUGAUAAGCCGGUUGUGAAAGCCCCGGGCUCAACCUGGGAACGGCAUCCGGAACUGUCAGGCUAGAGUGCAGGAGAGGAAGGUAGAAUUCCCGGUGUAGCGGUGAAAUGCGUAGAGAUCGGGAGGAAUACCAGUGGCGAAGGCGGCCUUCUGGACUGACACUGACGCUGAGGUGCGAAAGCGUGGGUAGCAAACAGGAUUAGAUACCCCAGUAGUC
rnacentral:rRNA from 1 species